UACGUAGGGACCGAGCGUUGUCCGGAAUCAUUGGGCGUAAAGAGCGUGUAGGCGGCUUCGUCAGUCCGUUGUGAAAGUCCAGGGCUCAACCCUGGAAUGCCGAUGGAUACUGCGGAGCUAGAGUACGGAAGAGGCGAGUGGAAUUCCUGGUGUAGCGGUGAAAUGCGCAGAUAUCAGGAGGAACACCUAUGGCGAAGGCAGCUCGCUGGGACGUUACUGACGCUGAGACGCGAAAGCGUGGGGAGCAAACAGG
rnacentral:rRNA from 1 species